rnacentral:lncRNA from 1 species
UUACCCCCUCACCUCCCCCUCCCCCAAAUUUAGGCUCUCUCAUCGUGGCAGCCGGCUGCUUCAUCCCCCUCCGCUCGGUGCGCCGGCUGACCCUUCACCGCGGCGGUUCCACCGUCACCAUUUGCACUCACGGCCCCAUGGGUUUGGGUCGGGGCCGUUCCCUCACCGUCCCCCUCCGCCACCUGUCGUGCCGUUCUCACCGCUCCGACGUCCGUGCCUCCAUCCCCCUCAAGGUGAAGGGCAGGGUUGCUUUCUUCCUCCUGGAUGCUCGGGGGCAGCUCGACAACCCGCGCCUCUUCGAUGUCACUGUCGGCGCUUACCGCAAGCUGUAGGGGCUGCCGCCUGACAGCGGGGGGGUGUUGGCACCCCCGAGGUGUUGGCACCCCCAAAUGUCACCUCUUGAGCUUACGUCACUUCCGGCGUGGCGCCAACCAAGAUGGCGACGCGCAUCCGGGUUGCAGCGAUCCCGGAGGAGAACCGUGCGGUUCGGGCGCAGCUCCUGCCGUGCUCCGUUCGCUAUAACGGCCCUGCGCCCGUCCGCGCGUUCCUCAGGGCCCGGCCCGGCCCCGGCGGCGGUGAGGAUUGAGGGCGGGGGGGAGGGGGUCGCUAUGGGGCCUUUGGGGGUCUGUGGGGCGCCCCUGUGGGGGUAUGGAGGG